AAUCGUACGUAGAGUGUAAAGGCAAAAGAGAGCUUGAUUGCAAGACAUACAGGUCGAGCAAGGAUGAAAAUCGGACUUAGUGAUCCGGUGGUUCUGCGUGGAAGGGCCAUCGCUCAACGGAUAAAAGCUACCCUGGGGAUAACAGGCUUAUCCCCCCCAAGAGUCCACAUCGACGGGGAGGUUUGGCACCUCGAUGUCGGCUCAUCACAUCCUGGGGCUGUAGUAGGUCCCAAGGGUUGGGCUGUUCGCCCAUUAAAGUGGUACGCGAGCUGGGUUCAGAACGUCGUG
rnacentral:rRNA from 1 species